AAAAAUAAUUUGUUCUCUUGACAAAGGCAUAUAUGUUUUGAAGUCAUUUUUGAUAUUUAUUCUAAACUUGAUGUGCUAAGUGUAAUUUUGUUUUCCAUGUGCACCCAAACAAUGAAAUAGGGAUGGUGACUUCCCGAUUCUUCUCCACCUCUGGAACCAAACUCUGUGACCGGCGAAACCAAACCCCCGCAAGUUCGGACCCCGCCCAGACCCAUCCAAUGGUGGCUGGCGAGAAGGUUACAGCUGCGACUCCAAGUUCUUGACACGAAACCAAUGUAGUGUCCGGUCUCGGCCACCAUUAACUUCCAAGAACGUUCCAAGAACGCCUGCCCCAAUUGUCUGAUCUUCGAUUGGCGCCGCUGCGGCCUCGGAGGAAUGGCCGUCACCGACGCCAUCGGCACGGCCGCCGCCGCGUCCUCCGGUGGCCCGUGGCCUCAACGACGGCUUGCACUGCACUGGUCGUCCGAUCCCCGAGCUCUGGUUUUCUUCUUUUCCUUCUUCCUCGUCCCUCCUCUUCUCGCAAUCGCAUCGUUUCUUUUCUUUUAUCCUCCUCUCUUCUCUCGUGCUGUCUCCUAAGUUCAUUCUUCUCUCUUUUCCCGAUGCCAGCAGUUCUAACCCUAGUCGAUUUUCACUUCUCCAAGUACAGGAACUCGGCACCGUUGGGCAAGCGGGCGCUUCGAUUCCCAAUUCCUUCUCAUCUCUUUCCGUUUCUUGGAAUAAUGGCUAAGCUUUGGGUUUCCUUUUCCCUCGGACCGGUAUAACAGUUGGAUUCGCAGAAUCUACCCUCGAAAAAAAACAGUUGGUUUCACAGAAUCAAGAAUGGCCAGGUUGGAAUUAAAACAGCCUAUUGGAGUGAUGCACUGUACAGGGGUAGCAAAGGGGAUUUAUGUUGCAUCUUCAUUAGGUGUUGUAUCUUCUUACUAUUAUCUUUUGAAAUGGGAGUAUAUAUCUUUUUUAAACAUGACUAUCUACAGUCUUUGUUAAGUGGAAUAUCUGUAAUUGUUUCCUUUCUCAAUGUUUACUGUUUGUUUCAUAUAUCUUAAUUUCUCUUAAUUUCAUAUUUCUGUAAGUGAAACAUCUGAGCAAGGUUUAUGUUCUUGAGAGAGAUCUCCAAAGAAACCAAAUAUUGGUUCAGGUAUUCUUGUUGGCUGUUUUUUCCCUUUUUUUUCUUUUAUGCAUCAUUGAUUUUUUUUUCCGGCGUACUCAUUGCUUUCAUCAUAUUCUAUUAGUUUCCAACAUUGUUGAUUGCUAGAAUAGCUUUUGCAGAAUUCUCUUCAUGGUAAUCAUUUGAUCUAUUUCUUUUAGGUCAUCGUUUCUUAUAGUAUGUCAAAUGCAAUCCCAUUUAAUUCUUUUAAUUAAUAUUAGAACACCCAGUUAGCUGCAGGCCUCGCAGCUUAUACAGAUGUUUACUUCCAUUUUUCACCUAUUUAUGGUGUAUCUGGAAACAUAAUUUCUUGCCAUGCAUUUUUUGAAAGACUCCAUUGAAUUUCAAUUUUCUUGAUACCACUUAUGCAAAAAGUGGUUGAUUAUGAAAUCAUGCAGUUAUUGAGUUGGGUUGAUUUAAAUGGUCUUAAGACCUGAAGCUGAUAUAAAUAAUAGACUUGUCUUUAUCUAAAUUAUGCAGAAAAUGUAAAGUUGCGUUUGACACAAAGCAGUUGAUUCUUCAUCUUGGCUUUUACAUGCUAAUUAUAUCUGAGAUACAUUAGACAGCGUCAUAUAAGUCACUAAAAUAUAUCAUGUCUUUGACACUAAAAUGUUUUUCAAUAUAAACCACUAUGCUCUUGUUUGCUUGCUAAUUAUGUAUUGUGACUAAAUAUGGAUUUUUGUAGGUUGAGAUUCACUAAGGACGACCACAUCAAAUUCGCAUUCACCUUGCAUCCAUUGGUCAUCCACUGUUCGGUGAAUGUAAUUUACAUACACUCAUAUGGUUCUAUAUGUGAUUUAUGCAGUGCAGCCUAAUUCCUAGAUGUUUGCAGCGGGCCACUUUAAGAGGAGCACGAACAUUUUCUCUAAAGGGAAAAGAUCGAUCAUGGCUACUUUGCUGAAUGAAAAUGCUAUUACAUAGCCAUAUAAGUCAAAGUACUUUUUCCUUGCGGUUGCUUCUAGGGAUCAUGAUUCAUUUAUGUCUUAGUUUUGGAUCCUUUUUCUUGCUUGCCAUGUUAUAGUUCUGUGACACUUUUAUUUGGAUACAUCAUUUUCUGUUAGCUCUCCUUAUGGUAGUUAUUGGAUAUUAUCAGGAUUUUCAUAUUAGUUGGCAUAUUCAAAGCCAGUAAUGUAGUGACGAGUCUAUCUGUUGAUACUUGAUAGUAUUUGCAAAUUAAAGCAACAGCUAAAAUAUCUGCAGAUAUAAAUGGCAGAACCUAGGGGAAUAAAAAAUAUUUAUGAAACUAUAAUACAUAUUCUCACAAAAAUAAGUCAUCAAAUUUUAGAAUAAUUAGUAGCUCUAUUUUUUUAAAAAAAAAUGCAUCGAGCAUGUUUUACUUACAUGAGUUGCACUAGAGAGCUGUUAUUCAUUUUCAUCAUCACCUGGUUAAGUUCUGUGAUGCCACGUAACAAGUAAUGCACUAAGCUUUGUGAUAUCAUUACAUUGAACUCCUAUUUUAAAACUCUCAGCUUUAUGUCAACCGUCAAGGUGAUAUGAAAUAGUUUGACAUAGAAUUCCAAGAUAUGUUUUUGGUGGGUGUUGACGUAAAAGAAUAUUUCUUCGAGAUGGACUGAUGGAUCUCAAUAAUUGAAUGAAGAAGUCAUGAAGGGAGAUACUUAUUGUGAAACUAUUAGAUUUGGUCAUGGUACUGAGUGCUGAUUUUGAGCAUUCACUCCUGAUGACAGAUGCACCACAUACUGUAUGUUCAUCUGUUCGUUUGAUAUGUUGGCUUUGCACUUUCUUUAGGAAAUCUGGCAGUGUAGCCGCUAAUUGAGAAUCAUCAACGCACGGAAGAUUCUUUUGGGUACAAAAAAUAGAUCACCACGUGAUUUCAGUUUAAUUAUUGCAGUUAUGAGUGAUACCUCUUCUGUACAAAAUACAUGAGAUUUAACAUCAAGAGUUUGGACAUUAAGUGGCAAUUUCAACAUUGUGUCUGCUGUAAAGUCUGUAUGAAGUUGACUAUCACUUAAUUUGCGAUAAAGCAUCUUGAAAGGAACUACUUUGCUGUGGGGCAUUCGCCAUUUGUUUUUAUCUUAUAUUUUAUGUAAACAAGGAUGCCCUAAGACUAGCACUGAUCAACUUCCUAAUUCAAUUCUUUGUACCAUACUAACUUAAAGAUGAUAUGCCUAUAUCAGGUAUUCUGUGCAGAAUAUCCUGAAGACACAAUAUAUUGAUAAAAUAAAUAGACAUUAUGGUAGCCUAAGAACAUUUUCAUGACUUGCUACAUUGUUCUUUUUUACCAUUUGUAAGUGUAUGGCAUAAGAGUUACAAUAGAGAAAGCUUGUAGGAAAAUUUUAAAUUUUUUUUUUUCAUCUUUGAUUUCACUUAGAGUCGUAGUUGAUUAGGAUUUCCACCGGUUGUUGCAUUGACAAAAGAACCAUAACUAUUUCUGUUGACAGAUAAAGAAUUCAAUUUCUUUGUAUACAUGAAUUCCCUCGACUUAUUGGGAAACUGCUGGCUCAAAAUUUAUACUUCAUGGUCGGAUUUUUACCAUAUACCUCCCUGAUGGUGCUAUUGUUUACCAUGGAAUUUAUGCUUAAUAUCUUCUUUGUUGUGAAAAUGUUCAAUAUCUUUAAUGUUUUACUUUUAACACCUUCAAUCUUUGUCACGUAUCAGCUGUAUUAUGAUUAGACAUUUAUUAAAAGUCACUUUGCUGCCUCCGAGGCAACUAAACCUCUACUCCUUGUCAAUACUUGAAGUGCUUAUGCUUUAUAAGAUGCUUAACUGUCGUCAGCUCACUUUUACAUAGCAUGUUAAUGGACAAAGCUUGCAAAUUGUUGGUUUUAUUUAAAAUAUGUACUGUACAAGGAAUGAAAUUCAUCAAAAUUACUUCACAUGACAUUAUUUGUCUUAUUUCCCCAAGCAUAGGAAGAACUGAAUGAAAAGGGCAAUGAUGGCAGAUAAUUGAUAACAAUGGAAUUAAUAUAAUGUCCAUAAAUCACGCACCACUGCCACCAUCUUUGAAACACAGGAAGAACUAGAUCAAACAAGGCAUGCAGAAAAGGGCAAUGAUGAGAGGUAAUUGCUGCUGAUGCGGCUGUUCUUGCCAGGGCAGAAGGAUAAACAAUCUCUGGUGGGGGCUCAUAUUUUGAACAGGCUUGAAGCUUAUCACAGGCAAACCAAAUCAACUACUUUCAGGAUGUUGCACGGUGGUGUUCCUUUGCCUUGCUAGGUGCCUUGACAUCGAUUUAUUCUGUUGAAAGCUUGCUCAUAUCAUUUCUCGUUUUGUUUAGUCAUUAACAUCUGUCUUAACAGAUGAUUUUGUCUCAGUUUUUGACCUAUCAUCUAACGUCUUGUUGUUGGAAAAAACUUUCAUCUGUCACAGAGCACACCAAGUAGUCUGAAUCAUGACCAUCUUCAUUGUCCAUGCAAUAAACUCAGCGUUGUAUUUAUCAUUUUAAUGUUUUUA